UACGAGGGGGGCAAGCGUUGUUCGGAAUUAUUGGGCGUAAAGAGCUCGUAGGCGGUUUGUCGCGUCUGCUGUGAAAACUUGAGGCUCAACCUCCAGCCUGCAGUGGGUACGGGCAGACUAGAGUGCGGUAGGGGAGAUUGGAAUUCCUGGUGUAGCGGUGGAAUGCGCAGAUAUCAGGAGGAACACCGAUGGCGAAGGCAGAUCUCUGGGCCGUAACUGACGCUGAGGAGCGAAAGCAUGGGGAGCGAACAGG
rnacentral:rRNA from 1 species